rnacentral:rRNA from 1 species
CCUACGGGAGGCAGCAGUGAGGAAUAUUGGUCAAUGGGCGUAAGCCUGAACCAGCCACGUCGCGUGAGGGAUGAAGGUUCUAUGGAUCGUAAACCUCUUUUAUAAGGGAAUAAAGUGUGGGACGUGUCCUGUUUUGUAUGUACUUUAUGAAUAAGGAUCGGCUAACUCCGUGCCAGCAGCCGCGGUAAUACGGAGGAUCCGAGCGUUAUCCGGAUUUAUUGGGUUUAAAGGGUGCGUAGGCGGCCUUGUAAGUCAGCGGUGAAAGUCUGUGGCUCAACCAUAGAAUUGCCGUUGAAACUGGGAGGCUUGAGUAUGUUUGAGGCAGGCGGAAUGCGUGGUGUAGCGGUGAAAUGCUUAGAUAUCACGCAGAACCCCGAUUGCGAAGGCAGCCUGCCAAGCCAUGACUGACGCUGAUGCACGAAAGCGUGGGGAUCAAACAGGAUUAGAUACCCGGGUAGUC